rnacentral:rRNA from 1 species
UACGUAGGGGCCUAGCGUUGUCCGGAUUUAUUGGGCGUAAAGAGCUCGUAGGCGGUUCGGUAAGUCAGGUGUGAAAUCUCCACGCUCAACGUGGAGGCGCCACCUGAAACUGCCGUGACUCGAGUCCGGUAGGGGAGUGUGGAAUUCCUGGUGUAGCGGUGAAAUGCGCAGAUAUCAGGAAGAACACCAAUGGCGAAAGCAGCUCUCUGGGACGGUACUGACGCUGAGACGCGAAAGCGUGGGGAGCGAACAGG